rnacentral:rRNA from 1 species
AGUGAACGCUGGCGGUAGGCCUAACACAUGCAAGUCGAACGGCAGCACAGUAAGAGCUUGCUCUUACGGGUGGCGAGUGGCGGACGGGUGAGGAAUACAUCGGAAUCUACUUUUUCGUGGGGGAUAACGUAGGGAAACUUACGCUAAUACCGCAUACGACCUACGGGUGAAAGCAGGGGAUCUUCGGACCUUGCGCGAUUGAAUGAGCCGAUGUCGGAUUAGCUAGUUGGCGGGGUAAAGGCCCACCAAGGCGACGAUCCGUAGCUGGUCUGAGAGGAUGAUCAGCCACACUGGAACUGAGACACGGUCCAGACUCCUACGGGAGGCAGCAGUGGGGAAUAUUGGUCAAUGGGCGCAAGCCUGAUCCAGCCAUACCGCGUGGGUGAAGAAGGCCUUCGGGUUGUAAAGCCCUUUUGUUGGGAAAGAAAAGCAUCAGGUUAAUACCCCGCUGUUCUGACGGUACCCAAAGAAUAAGCACCGGCUAACUUCGUG